CUACCUUUGACAUGUACGGAAUUCGCCAGAGAUGGCUUAGUGCUCGAAAGAGAGCCGUAACACAGGUGCUGCAUGGCUGUCGUCAGCUCGUGUCGUGAGAUGUUGGGUUAAGUCCCGCAACGAGCGCAACCCUUGUCAUUAGUUGCUACAUUUAGUUGGGCACUCUAAUGAGACUGCCGGUGACAAACCGGAGGAAGGUGGGGAUGACGUCAAGUCCUCAUGGCCCUUAUAGGUAGGGCUACACACGUCAUACAAUGGCUGGUACAGAGGGUUGCC
rnacentral:rRNA from 1 species